ensembl:lncRNA
ACCCCAUAUAACCCAUAUCUGCCCAUAUCCCCCCAUAUAACCCCAUAUAAACCCAUAUCUUGCACCCAGUAAUCCCCCUAUAUAACCCCAUAUCUCCCCAUAUCCCCACCAAUAUAACCCCAUAUCGCCCAUAUCCCCCCAUAUCACCCAAUCCCCCCCAUAAUAACCCCAAUCUGCCAUAUCCCCCCAUUAUAACCCCAUAUCUGCCCCAUAUCGCCCCCAUAUAACACCCCAUAGUAACCCCACUAUCCCACCCAUAUGGCCCCAUAAGCCCCCCAAUUUCAGCCCCCAUAGACACCCAAUAUGCCCAUAGGCCCAUUGCCACCCCAUACCCACAAAUAUCCCCCCCAAAGCCACCCCCAUAUGACACCCAUAGACACCCCAUAGACCCUAGAGACACCCCACUAUAACAGCAUCCCCCAUAUCCCCCCAUAUAUCCCCCCAUAAGACCCCAAUAUAACCCACUAUACCCAUUAUACCCAACUAUAACCCAUAUCAAAUUGCCCUAUCCCACCCAUAUACCCAUAUAACCCCAUAUUAACCCAUUCUCCCCAUAUCCCCCAUUAUUCUCUCUCUAACCCAUAUUCUGCACCACUCCCCCCAUAUCCCACUUAUAAACCCAUAUAAACUCACCAUAUCGCCCCAUUCAUCCCCCCCAUAUUACCCCAUAUAACCCCAUAUCCCCCCAUACCCGCAGCCCCCGAUGCCUCCUCGCCCCAUAGCCGUGCCCUACAAGCCGCCCGUCGCCGCGCUCUGAGCUCGGCCCUAUUGAGGGAACUGAGGGACGAGAUGGGGGACGGCCCCGAACACGUGGGGGGCAGCCAGCCCCAUAGCCAGCAGCAAAGCCGUACAGCCCUUGAGGAAUCCUUGUUGUGUCGGCUGAGCGAGAGCCGCCAUCAGCGGGCACUGAGACGUCGUCAAUCUAUGGGUCAAUCUAUGGGGCAGGAGCCGCCAUUAAAUUCCAUCACCAACUUUGGGGCCUUUUCUGCCCUAUUGGAGACCACGGACCAGGUGGGUCUGACCCACAACCCCCCCAUUAAGCUCCUCCCACCUAAUUUGCAUCUCAUUUGCAUCUCAUUUGCAUCUCAGUUGCCUUUUAUACGUACCUUAUGUGCCUACUGUAAGUCCCCCCCUGCCUCAUUUGCAUCUCAUUUGCAUCUCAUUUGCCUUCUAUUCACUCCUUAUGUGUCUACUAUAAGCCUUUCUUGCCUCAUUUGCAUCUCGUUUGCAUCUCAUUUGCCUUGUAUAAGUUCUACAUGUGCCUACUAUAAGCCCCUCUCCACCUCAUUUGCAUCUCAUUUGCAUCUCAUUUGCCUUUUAUACGCUCCUUAUGUGUCUACUAUAAGCCCCUCCCCACCUCAUUUGCAACUCAUUUGCAUUUCAUUUGCCUUCUAUUCACUCCUUAUGUGUCUACUAUAAGCCCCUCCCACCUCAUUUGCAUCUCAUUUCCCUUUUAUUCGCUCCUUGUGUGUCUACUAUAAGCCUUUCUCGCCUCGUUUGCAUCUCGUUUGCAUCUCAUUUGCAUCUCAUUUGCCUUUUAUACGCUCCUUAUGUGCCUACUAUAAGCCCCUCCCCACCUCAUUGGCAACUCAUUUGCAUCUCGUUUGCCUUUAAUACGCUGAUGUGCCUACAAUAAGCCCCUCUGCCUAAUUUGCAUCUCAUUUGCAUCUUAUUUGCAUCUAAUUUGCCUUUUCUCGCUCCUUGUAUGUCUGCUAUAAGCCUUUCUCUCCUCGUUUGCAUCUCAUUUGCAUCUCAUUUGCCUUUUACACGCUCUUUAUGUGCCUACUAUAAGCCCCUCCCCACCUCAUUUGAAUCUCAUUUGCAUCUCAUUUGCCUUUUAUAAGCUCCUUAUGUGUCUACUAUAAGCCCCUCCCCACCUCAUUUGCAACUCAUUUGCAUCUCAUUUGCCUUUUAUUCGCUCUUUAUGUGCCUAAUAUAAGCCCCUCCUGCCUCAUUUGCAUCUUGUUUGCAUCUCAUUUGCAUCUCAUUUGCCUUUUAUAUGCUCCUCGUGUGUCUGCUAUAAACUUUUCCUGCCUCAUUUGCAUCUCAUUUGCCUUUUAUACGCUCUUCGUGUCUCAUUCACCUACUCUAAGCCCCUCCCACCUCAUUUGCAUCUCAUUUGCCUUUUAUAAGCUCAUGUGCCUACGACAAGCCUUUCCGGUCUCAUUUACAUCUCAUUUGCAUCUCAUUUGCCUUUUAUAAGCUCCUUAUGUGUCUACUAUGAGGCCCUCCACCUCAUUUGCAUCACAUUUGCAUAACAUUUGCCUUUUAUAAGCUCCUCACGUGUCUACGACUGCCCUUUCCUACCUCAUUUGCAUCUCAUUUGCAUCAGAUUUGCAUCUCAUUUGCCUUGUAUACGCUCCUCAUGCUUCACGUGCCUAUUAUAAGGCUUUCCCAUCUCAUUUGAAUCUCAUUUGAA